UUUGGCGGCCAUUACGGGAAGGCCACACCUGUUCCCAUACCGAACACAGCAGUUAAGCUUCCCAGUGCCGACGAUACUUGGAUGGCAACGUCCCGGGAAAAUAGGUCGCCGCCAGAU
rnacentral:rRNA from 1 species